AUUUGAAAAAUCGCAGAAGUUUUUCUUCUUCUCUGAUGAUAAAAUGAAUAAAGUGGCUUUAAGUUGUGUGGUUUUGGUGGUUUUUUGUGCCUCAAAAGUGUCUGCUUUAACGUGCUACUCGUGCGAUUCUAUUCUCAAUGAUAAUUGCAUUGAUGGAACUAAUUUGGAGCCAAUAAACUGCCCGGAAUUAGGUGAUAUUGGAAAUAGAUGCCUCAAAGCUGUUGGAUAUGUAAAUGGGACAGACGUUGUGUUGCGAGAUUGUGGUGUAAGAAACUACUGCGGAACUAUCGGCAAUCCUAGCGUUGAAAUUACUUCCUAUUACCUUUGCGAAGGCAGCAAUUGCAAUGGAUCUCUUAAAUUAAGAGGCAACCUCUUCUUCU